AUGCUUCUCUCCCUCUACCAACAGCCUGUUUACCGUCGGUUUCCUUUUGAUUCCUUGAUGCAGGCGCCGUUGUCCAUCCCUGCAUCCGGCCAGGGGAUGGCCGAGACCGCCCUCGGCGCCGCACAAUGGGUGGUGUGCAAGGCGCUAGCCCCCAUUGCCGAUGGCGUGCUGGAGGCUUGGGCGGCCAGCAGGACAUUUGGUCUCAACAUCCAGGCCCUCAGAACGGAACUGGAGAAGGUGCAGGCCACGCUCGAAAUAGCUGCCACCAAGGAGCUCCCCGGGCUGGCCACGGAGAAGAUGCUGCAGAAGCUGUGGGACUCGGCGCACAAUGCCGAGGACUUGCUGGACGAGCUGGACUACUUCCGCAUCCACGACGAGCUUCACGGCACGUACGAUGCUGCCGACCAGCCCGGCGACGGUGUCCUCCGUGACCUCGCCUGUGAUGCUCGCCACACAAUCAAAGAUCUUGGCAAACUGAUCAACUAUUUCCCAUGGCAGCGUGCUGAGCUCCAGCAGAGGUCACGUGGCGAUUCGUUCUCAGCAUCAGAUGCCAACCAGGAGGUCAGCGGAUGCAUGUCCAGCCUCGGUAAACUGCUCCUUUCCUCAUGUUCUCCACAUCCACAUGUUCGUGGUGAUGAAGAUCAUGGCAAUGCGCAAGAAGCACCAAUGCCUGAGUUUAAUAGGGCUGAUUUCUCCCAAAGGAUGAAGGACACUGUAGAGCAACUAAAGGUUAUGCGUAAUGAUGUUAAGGAUAUCCUGCAGACUUGUGGCCCUAGAACUGUCCUAGACAUUGCUCAGCGUCGUGCCACCACCACACCUCAGAGUGCAGAGCCAAAACUGUAUGGGAGGGACCAUGUCAUGAAUAAUAUGAUACAUGAUAUCACCGAGGGUCAAUACUGUGACAAGGGUCUAACUGUGCUUCCGGUUAUUGGUCCGGGGGGAAUGGGGAAGACAAUUAUGAUACAACACAUAUAUAACAACCAACAAGUGCAGAAUCAUUUUCCAGUCAGGAUUUGGAUAUGUGUGUCGUUCAAUUUCAACCUGGGUAAGGUGCUAGAACAGAUUAAAGAAGAUACCCUUACGGUUGAAGGUGAAAAUGGGUGUAGUACAACACAAGAGCUGAUUGAACACAGAUUGAAACACAAAAGAUUCUUACUUGUAUUGGAUGAUAUAUGGCAGUUUAAUGAUGUGGAUGACUGGAAAAAACUAUUAUUGAUACUCGGCAAGUCACAAGAAAGGGUUCCAUGGUUCUAG
rnacentral:rRNA from 1 species